rnacentral:rRNA from 1 species
UACGAAGGGGGCUAGCGUUGCUCGGAAUCACUGGGCGUAAAGGGUGCGUAGGCGGGUCUUUAAGUCAGGGGGGAAAUCCUGGAGCUCAACUCCAGAACUGCCUUUGAUACUGAAGAUCUUGAGUUCGGGAGAGGUGAGUGGAACUGCGAGUGUAGAGGUGAAAUUCGUAGAUAUUCGCAAGAACACCAGUGGCGAAGGCGGCUCACUGGCCCGAUACUGACGCUGAGGCACGAAAUCGCGGGGAGCAAACAGG